ACUCCAGGUGACGCACACAACUGGGUUUGUAGUUGGAGGUGUUCCUGAUAGUUUCCGACCUCUGUCGGAGGUUUUUGACAGCUGGGAAAGUCGUCUGACCCCCACCAUGCAGCUGGAAAUGGUAGGCAGGACAUAUUUGGUUAGCUGCUUUGCUAGCAUGCAUCGUUUCUCCAGGCCUCGGAUUAUUAUUUAAAAAACCUACUAGAUGAUCCAUAACGUCUGUUUUUGUUGCUUCUUAAUUAAGUGAAUAAAGCAUUGUGAUAGUUUACAUUCACACCGGCUGUAAGUGUUUGUUAAUGUAGAGGAAUGUUUUUGUCAUGUCAGUGGCUAACAACGACGUGUUGGUAGCACUGAAGGGCGGCCAUACUGUGACUAACUCUGAAAAGUAUUUCUCAAACCAAAUGACAAGCAUUAGCUUCUACAAUACAGUCAGAUAAGAAAUAUUCUUUGUUUGCUUUUACAAAUUAGACAGUAUCUCUUGUAUAUUUCGUGUAUAUUUGUUUAUAAAAGCCACCACAGUAUAAAAGCUCAAAACAAGCAACACUCAAAAGAACUAUAUAUCGAAUUGAAAGGACAUUAUAAUAAAAUUCAAAUAAUGCUAAGAUAAUGUCUUUAGUUUUAAAACAAACAGCUGCAGCGGUUUUUGUUAUUAAUUUACAUAAAAACUUGCUAUUCAUCACAAAAAUUAGCGUUAUUCCUAACAGGUUCCAUAGGUCUUAGCAUAAAAUUGUACACAAAUGUGUCAAAUACAUUAGAAAGCAAUGGAUCAACCACAUUUAUUAUUAUCAUUUGUUGCACUUUUGAGAUGUAUGCAGAUUUUGUCAGGAUUAGAAAAGCUAAUGAAUAGAGAACUGAUUCGAUCAAGUCAUUUUGAUUUUGGUAAAUGGCAUAAAAACAUAAACUAUGUGGGUUAUAAAAAUAAUUGUACCUCUAUUCAGACAAAUAAAAACCUUGUUUUAUAGGACUAAACAUUUUUGCUAUGUUGCUACCAGGCAGUAAGCAAAUAAAUUGAAUUCUAGGUGUGUUUUUUUGACAGGGAAUCUGACAUUCUUGACUCACAAUAGAAAGUAAUCUGUUUUAAUUGUAUUGUGAAACCUGCAGAGCAAAAAGCAGUAAUGCACCUGUUACAAAUAACAAAAAUGCUUUCAAAAAGGGAUGAGCAAUGUCAAGGUAAAAUUAUCAAAAUACAAUACAACAUAUUUUAGAGCGUUUUUAGCAGUAAUAAUAAAAGUGAUAUAAAUCUAUCAUUACAUACAGUUUAAGGUUUUGCAAAUCUGCCACUAAAACCUUCACAAUCUUUAUUUUCAGUCAUAUUUUGUAUCAGUAUUAAUGCAAACCAAAGUUUUUAAACUUAAAGUUAUAGCUAUCUAUACCUUUAAAGUUCUUGCCAUAGAGUAAUGCAGCACUGCCCUGCCCCACCUGUUGCUGAACACUUUUGAGAAGUAGUUCAAAAUGUUUAGGGGGUUUGCAAACAUAUAUUAGAUUUUCUUGUUACUUUUACAGUUGAUUUAAGGCUUAAUAAGUAUCCUUUCCAUAAUAACAAUAGUAUAAAUUAAAGUAGCAUUAUGGACAAAUGGUAGCCUAUUUUAGGUAGCAAAAUAGAUUCCUCUCAUCCAAAGAAAUGUAAUUGAGGAUGUUGAAAUAAUUUUUUGUUGUUGUUGUAGAACAACAAAACUUCCAAAUGUGGGGGUGGAAGUAGGACAUUUUCACAUUAGGAUCAUUGUUUCAUUGUAUAUCGCUAAUAAAAAAAAAAGUCCAAAUUGUUUUUGUUUUUUUUUGUUUACAACCUAAAAGCAAUAUUUAUUUCUACUGCUACUAAAAUUUUAUAACGUAAUGAUUAUUGCGGUUACAGUAAUGUAACUGUAAUGUAUUUUUUAAAUCUUUUGCUCUCUAUAGAUUAACACAAACAUAAUUAGCAUUAGCAUAAUUAGACGUUAAUGUGUCUUGUAGCUUGGCAACUUUAUUUUUUUAAACUUCAUAGAGUGAUAGAGUUGCUCUUUUAGUUUCCAUGACUUAAAUUAUUUCAGAACAGCCAAAUUUUCUCUGCUGUAAAGAAAGAAGCAUACAGCUGCACUCUGCCUGCAUUCUAUAAUUAUUACAUGUUAAGUUAGACAGAAAUUGGCAUUUUUAUUGUCAAUAAAUACUGUACCUAAUACAAAAAAGCUAAACAGUUUAAACUUUGCAUGGUAUUUGUUUUGGAUAAAACUAAAUCGGUUGAGUAUUACUGGCACACAGAUUCACAUUGGUGUUGUAAAAUAUUGCCAAUAAGUGACAUUGAUUUUUUUUUCAGCUAUAGCUGAAUAAUAAAAACCAGGAUAUACCACUGGAGACUUUGUUGGGGGGAUAAAAGAAACAAUACGGUUUUGUUAAAAUAUUUUGGCUACAGACGAGGUGACGUUAACCAUAAACAGGUUCUCUGGCUUUAGGACUUUGUAGCUGUUGCCACAACAUGACACAAGAUGACUUAAUGACUUGAUCAUUGAAAUAAGGUCAACAAAACUCUGUAUAACAAUUGCAGAAUUACAUCUGAUUGUUGUCUUAACAAUAAACAAACAAACCUGUUGGGUGUAUUUAAGCAAUUUAUGUAGCACUACAAGUUAAAACAGUUUUUUGCAAUUGAAAAGCAAAGAAGCUUUGAUUUGUGAGUGCAUGAAUGCCUUAGAUCAUAAACAAUCCUCCAAGGUGGCAUCAUCAGCCUCUUUUCUCUACCUUGCUUUCCACUUGCAUCUAAAAUCGCACUUGCAUGAGUUAAGUGUCAAAGUAUGUCAAAUCCCGGCGCAGCCAAAGCGAGGCCUCCAUUUACUCUUAUUGCUUAAGACCCGUGCUGAGUAGUAAUGAAACAUUAGAGUGCUCUGACAUUAUUGUCCCUGAUCCUUUGGACUCGGCUUUCGUUUCGACAUUUCUUUUUAAUAACUUAUGUCUUGUUAAGUUAUCCUGAGUAUUAGCAGCUGUUUCCAGCGGCGUCCAAGUUGGAUUAAUUUGUCGUAGUUGAGACAUGAACUGCUUCGCUGUUGCAGAGCUUGCCAAUACAUGAAGACUUCUGCUUUUCAUUCUGCUCCUUUGCUUCGACUUGUACUACACUGCAAAAACUCUUACCAAGUAUUUUUGGUCUAGUUAAAGAAAUAUCUUUAUACACUUACAAGUAACUUUUUACGACAUAUAUGAGCUUGUUUUAAGUCAAUAAUUCCUUAACGAUGAAAAAGUUCUAGUUCCACAGGCAGAUUACUUUUCUUAUAACUGGACAUUUUUCCAAAGUUAAAGAUGAAACCUAGCAGUGAAGCUAGAACUUUUUUAUCAGUAUUAAGGAUUUUUUGACUCCUAUAUCAGGGUUUUCCCCAGUGUAUUAUAAGCCUGGCGGGCCACCAGGCUUUACUUGUGCGCCCCACCUUUUUUUUCCGAGCCUUUAUAAAAUGUUUGCAUUUUUUAAGGGUUUAUAGUUAGUGUUCAGGUAUUAAUAUUCCAAUAUGUCAAUAACACAUAAUUAUCAAGUGAUAUUUUAAAUUUCCUGUCAACUUUAAACGUUUUUUAACUCAAACACAACGGCCCAACCACCGGGCUUAGCAAGUUUUCAGGGGGAAACCUUGUAUAUUUAACUGAAAGUUACUAGAAACAAAAAUACUUGGUAGGAUUGUGUUUUUGUAUUUAUUUAAUACAGUCAGUCUUCUUGCUCAAAUUACUUAAAAAGGGCAGAGUAAACCCAAUCCUUUAAGAUCUUUGUUGUAGUUCUUAAAUACAGUAGACCAACAGGCUUUUCAGAGAGAGGAAGAAAGAAGACGAGUGAUCUUUGGCCCUGGCCUGCUGGUCUUGGCAGCAGCAACAGGUUUUUCUGUUUUCAUUUAUAGAAAUGUGGAAAUGAAUUCAACAUCCUAAAGUCAGCAGAACAGGUUUUAGUUGUCGUUGUUUUUUGUUUUUUUGUUGUUUGUUUUUAAAUUGAACGUAACGUAUCCUAUUUUUUUUAAAGUCGAUUGUUUGGUGAAACUUGUCUAAAUUGUGAAAAGAGCAAAGUUAAAUGGAGAUCUCAUCUGAAACCUGUUUGACAUAAAUACACCAGAAGCAAUGACACGGCCCAUUUUCUCAUAACCUCACGGCUCAGGUGUAAAACUAGAAACUCACAGGUUGUAAUAAAUGUUUUCUCUGUAUAACCAGAAAUAAACUCAGUUAUAACCACUGCUAAACUUUCAAAGUUAUUACCAAUCAGUGCAAAGGAGAAAACUUAAUUCACGUUCAGCUGCGCUUUGGGGGAAAAGUUUAGGUACUUACCGAUGGUAAAUUGAUUAGUAAUUCACAUUUUACGACUUGGAUACACUUACAUACUCUGCUAUAACCACCGGCUUUUAAAUAGUGUGAAAUAUUCCAGCAUUUUCAUCGUGUAAGAUUAUCUUUCAUGUCAUUUUUGGUGCGCAAUCUAAAAGGCUGCUCGAGUUUUUUCUGCAUUUCAGACCUGAUUGUUGUUUGCAACAUGAAAAUUGGGAUUUAGCAGAAGCUGCUCCCACAUGGUGCUGAUUUCAGUUUAGGAAACUUGUAUUUUUAUCUUUGUUUCACCUUUAAUUUACAUUUGUAAAGUUGCCAGCAAUAAUCGGAAUCACUCGAAAUAUUUUGUGCCGUUUUUUUGGUUCUGCUGCCUGGGAAAUAAUUGCAAUUUGAAAUGUAUUCCCUAGUGAUUCCUUAAGUUAUUUUUUAACUUGCUAUUUCAGUUAUUUCGAUCAUUAAAAAACGUCCAAAAUAAAAUAUUAAAGUUGCAAAAUCAAACGCAUUCCAUUCUCUUGAAACACUUGCAAAAUAAAACAUAAUAACAGCUUGGAAACCAAAUUUUAUAAAUAAGUUUUGUGAGCUUGAAAUUGGGGCUGAAACGAUUAAUUGUGAUUAAUCAAUUAUUGAGAUCAACUAAUUUAGUAAUCGGCUUAUCGUUAACUGAUGUAUAUAGACUCAAAAAAGGCAAUUUGCUUAAAGAACAACAUAUUCAGAAUAGUAACAAAGCCAAAAAUAUAUCUACAUUUUGCAUUUUAGAUCAAAU